ensembl:rRNA 5S_rRNA 5S ribosomal RNA
AACUAGGGCCACGCCACCCUGAACGUGCCCGAUCUCAUCUGAUCUCAGAAGGUGAGCAGGAUUGGGCCUCGUUAGUACUUGGAUAGGAGACCACCUAUGAAUACCAAGUGCUAUAGGCG